AAGGUGUGAAGCCCAGAAGCUCGGAGCCCUAUACCAGCAUUGCCUCGCGUCACCAGAGCAAACUCAACCAGGUGGCAAGACAGCAGUGGGCCUUGUUUCCCUCAACUCCAGACUUCAGACGACAGAUUUUACUGCAAAGUGUUGAAGAUCAGACCAACACAUACAUGCACAAUGACCAAUUGGAUGGCAGUACACUCCAUCCACCACGUUCCUCUCAUCAUAUGAACAACAUCUGUCAUGGCACGGACCGUUACCUGGUGACAAAGAAGA